AGGGAAUCUUCGGCAAUGGACGAAAGUCUGACCGAGCAACGCCGCGUGAGUGAGGAAGGUCUUCGGAUCGUAAAGCUCUGUUGCCAGGGAAGAAUGGCCAGGGGAGGGAAUGCCCCUGGCGUGACGGUACCUGAGAAGAAAGCCCCGGCUAACUACGUGCCAGCAGCCGCGGUAAUACGUAGGGGGCGAGCGUUGUCCGGAAUUAUUGGGCGUAAAGCGCGCGCAGGCGGUUCUUUAAGUCUUGUGUUUAAUCCCGGGGCUCAACCUCGGUACGCAUGGGAAACUGGAGGACUGGAGUGCAGGAGAGGGAAGCGGAAUUCCACGUGUAGCGGUGAAAUGCGUAGAGAUGUGGAGGAACACCAGUGGCGAAGGCGGCUUCCUGGCCUGUAACUGACGCUGAGGCGCGAAAGCGUGGGGAGCAAAC
rnacentral:rRNA from 1 species